UACGAAGGGGGCUAGCGUUGUUCGGAAUUACUGGGCGUAAAGCGCGCGCAGGCGGCUAUCCAAGUCAGUGGUGAAAGCCCGGAGCUCAACUCCGGGUCUGCAGUCGAUACGGGCAGACUUGAGUGUUGCAGGGGAGACUGGAAUUCCUGGUGUAGCGGUGAAAUGCGCAGAUAUCGGGAAGAACACCCGUGGCGAAGGCGGCUCUCUGGGACGGUACUGACGCUGAGACGCGAAAGCGUGGGGAGCGAACAGG
rnacentral:rRNA from 1 species